GGCCACAUCAAGUUGUAACAUCGGUUCUCGUACGAUCACCGAAGUUAAGCAAUCUCGAGCCUGGUCAGUACUUAGGUGGGUGACCGUUUGGGAAUAUCAGAUGCUGUAAG